rnacentral:tmRNA from 2 species
GGGGGUGAACGGUUUCGACUUCGGAUGUCGAUGCAGAGGAAGCGGGCCGAGGAAUUCGGUACUGAUCUCGUGAACCAUGUGCCGUAAACCAAUAAGUGCCGAUAACACGCGCACUGGCUUCGCACUCGCCGCCUAGGCGAGAGCUCUAAGUAAGCCCGUCAGCCCGAGAGUGCUUCCGGCUCGGGAUCUGGCGUCGCUAGGAAGCUCAACUUCACCGCUGGGUCACGCAGUGGUGAGGGACAUCAAACAGUGACUGAGCCUGUCGACGACUUGCCUGUGUGAUCGUCGGGGCUAAGAAAAGCGCAGCAGGCUGCGCCCGGAGAAGCUCUGCUCCGGUACCGAAGGACCCGGGUUCGAUUCCCGGCACCUCCACAA